CAAGUCGUACGAAGUACGAUGGGGUUUACUCUAUCGUAUGGCAGUGGCGGACGGGUGCGUAACGCGUAAGAACUUACCUUUUGGCGAGGGACAACCGCGGGAAACUGCGGCUAAUACCUCAUAGAGCUGAGGAGCGAAAGGUGAAAACCACCAAAAGAGAGGCUUGCGUCUGAUUAGCUAGUUGGUGAGGGUAAUGGCCUCCCAAGGCGACGAUCAGUAGCUGGUCUGAGAGGAUGAUCAGCCACACUGGAACUGAGACACGGUCCAGACUCCUACGGGAGGCAGCAGUGAGGAAUUUUCCGCAAUGGGCGAAAGCCUGACGGAGCAAUACCGCGUGGAGGAGGAAGGCCCGUGGGUCGUAAACUCCUUUUCUCAGAGAAGAACACAAUGACGGUAUCUGAGGAAUAAGCAUCGGCUAACUCCGUGCCAGCAGCCGCGGUAAUACGGAGGAUGCAAGCGUUAUCCGGACUGAUUGGGUGUAAAGCAUCUGUAGGCGGUUUUGGAAGUCUACGGUUAAAUCCCAGGGCUUAACUUUGGUUCAGCCGUAGAGUACUUCAAAGCUUGAGUAUGGUAGGGGUAGAGGGAACUUCUCGUGGAGCGGUGAAAUGCACAGAGAUGAGAAGGAACACCAGUGGCGAAAGCGCUCUACUGGGCCAUGACUGACGCUGAGAGAUGACAGCUGAGGGAGCGAAUAGGAUUAGAUACCCUAGUAGUCUCAGCCGUAAACGAUGGAUACUAGAUGUUGCCACAAGCAGUGUCGAAGCUAACGCGUUAAGUAUCCCACCUGGGGGAGUACGUACGCAAGUAUGAAACUCAAAGGAAUUGACGG
rnacentral:rRNA from 1 species